AGCAAUCGGGAGCAAUUUGGGGUUUGGUGUCUUGCCCAAGGACACUUCGGCAUGUGGAUGUCAUGUGGGCCGGGAAUCGAACCGCCGACCCUGGUUACGCCUCAUGGUUUUACAUUUGCUUUGUCUUCUGAAACCUCGCCCUCUGCAUUUAAACACAUUUUGGAGAAAAUGAAACUAAGGGGAGGAAACGUACACGAGCAGCUCUCAGCAGUGUGAGGUGUAAUACACCUGAAGACUGUGUUUUCAUUAAGAAAUGGCUGAUGACUCAUCAGAUUUCUGUUGAGACAGAUGUAAAUGCAGGCAGAGCAGUUCAAUGGAAACGAGACAAACACUGAGCAAACUCACAGGUCUAAGUUCUCCUGACACACCAGAAACAUAUGAUUAUCACCCAGUAAAAGAAAUGGGCACAGCUACUGGGAACAAUCCCUCACAGACCAUAGAGGAUACAACAAAGCAAACGUGCAAAAUCAAGAAAAAUAAGAAGGAAAAGAAAGAAAAACAUCUGCAUAUGAAAGUUAAUUAUGAAAAGAAAGAAAAGAAUCUGGAAGCAAGAGAGAUUGCUGUAGAAAAGAGAGAAACCCAUCAGAAUAGAAGAGAAAUUCAUCUGGAAGAGAGAGAAAAGCAUCUGAAUGAAAAAGAAACGAAUUUAGCAGAAAAAGAAAAGCACCUACAACAAAAAGAAAUUACUUUGCAAGAGAAAGGAAAGCAUCUGGAUGGAAAAGAAGUUCAGUUUGAAGAAAAAGAAAAGCAUCUGAAUGGAAAAGAAGUUCAAUUUGAAGAGAAAGAAAAACAACUGUUUGUAAGAGAGAUUAAUUUGGGGAAAAGAUCAAAAUAUCUAGAUGGAAGAGAGACUCGCUUGCAAGAGAGAACAAAACAUCUGGAAGAAAAAGACAUUUCUUUAGAAGAAAGCUUAAAGCAUCUGUUGGGGAGAGAGAAUAGUUUGCAAGAGAGAACAAAACAUCUGGAAGAAAAAGAAGUUUCUUUAGAUGAACGUUUAAAGCAUCUGUUGGUGAGAGAGAAUAGUUUGCAAGAGAGAGGAAAGUGUCUGGAUGGAAGAGAGGUUCAACUGGAAAAGAGGGAAAUGCGUAUAGAUAGAAGAGAGAGUCGUGUGGAUGAGAGAGAACAGCGCCUGGAGGGAAAGGAGAUUCGUUUGGAAGAGAAAGAAAAAAAUCUUGCACAACAUGACCUGAGACAUCUUAAUUCUGCAGAUAGAGAAAAUGAAAAACAGGAAAGAAGUUCAUUCAUGAAAAGUUCCAAGAAGCAAAAGAGAGAACAUCCUGAUGAAGAAGAGAAAGAGCACUCUGUUGAUGAGUAACCCAUUCAGUGUAGAAACAGACAGUAGACCUGUGCAUGAACACCGGCUGGAAGAAGAAACCUUCAGGUGGAAGAAGAGGAAGAAAUUAGUACCUUACCUGAAUAUAUACUGGAUCUGUACGUGACUUGAAUAGAGAUCAGAACAUUAUUCUGAUAAUAAUAUUUUUAACAAAGGCCACGUUAAAAUAAAGAGGACACAAACUCAACAGUCGAGCAUGAACAACCACUUAUCAAAACUACUUAAUAUUAUGUGUGUCCUGUGAACCGAGCAGCCAGCCAAAUUCCCAUUCCUGAGUCAGGCAACAAAACUGUAAAAAACAAACAAACAAAAAACUUGCUGAUACGACAUACGCCUGUGAUGUUUAUGUGAAAAAAAAAAAACUAAUGUAAAAAUUAGGUUUUUUUUUUUUUUUAAUUUUUAAAAAAAUGCUUUAAAAAAAUAUUUUUAAAAUUUAAAUUUAACUUUAAUGAAAUUUAACUUUAAUUAAUUUUAAAAAAAUAAUUUUUAAUACUUACAUACAUACUGUACAUACAGUACUGUGCAAAAGUUUUAGGCAUAUGCAAAGAAAUGCUGUAGAUGCCUUCAAAAUACUGAAAUACAGUAAAGAGCAGUAAACAGUAGUAAAUGACACAAAGUCAAUAUUUAGUGUGACAAAAAAUAAAAAUAAAAAUAGUAGUCUCAGGUAGAGUUAGUGCAGUUUUAUAAGGAAAUGAGCUGUAAUUUUAUUGAGCAUCUUGCAGAAUGCCGCUUUCUUUACUGAUGAACAUUUUUCUGUAACAUUAAUUUUGUGCUGGAAAACUAAUGUUUGGGAAUCUAAAAUGUGUUUGUACUGACUCGAUAUGUCGAAGUCAUCAAAUAAAAAUCUGUAACAAAGUUUGUACUAAAAAAAAAAUAGGUGCCUAAAACUUUUGCACAGUACUGUAUGUAUUUUUCUUUAGGUUUUUAGUUCCCAAAAUCCUUAGGCAUAUUUGUAUACUAAUAUAUGUAUUUUGUUGUUAUACAUUUUUUUUAGAUUUAAAUUCGCAUUCACUGCUAUUUUUAGUUCUGCUUGCCAAUACCAAGAGGCAGGUUGACUGUGGGGGAAAGUGGGAGGUUUUGUGCUCGUUUUCUUUACUUCCUUAUUCAUAAUUACAUCUUUCUUUCUUUCUAUUAUAUUAUAUAUUUAUUUCUAUCUUUAUUUCAAUUAUUCAGCUGGCCUUGUCUUUAAUGUCAUACUUUGAAAUGUUUUGUCCCCCCCCCCCGUACCCGAUUCUCCCUGGGAUAGGCUCCAGGUUCCCCGUGACCCUGAAAAGGAUAAGCGGUAUAGAGGAUGGAUGGAUAGAUUUAUUUGUUAAUAUAUAUUCUGAUUCAUUAAACUCAUUUUCGGGAAACUGUGUCCCUUGUGCCUUGACUGCCUCGAACCCUCACAAACAGCUUAACCAAAUCAUAAGUCUGCUAUUACCUACU
ensembl:lncRNA